rnacentral:misc_RNA from 1 species
UCGUAACAAGGUCUCCGUUGGUGAACCAGCGGAGGGAUCAUUACCGAGUGUAAAAACUCCCAAACCAUUGUGAACUUACCACUGUUGCUUCGGCGGCCUCGCCCCGGGCGCGUUCGCGCGGCCCGGACCCAGGCGUCCGCCGGAGGCUUCAAACUCUUGUCUUUUAGUGUAUUUCUGAGUGGCAUAAGCAAAUAAAUCAAAACUUUCAGCAACGGAUCUCUUGGUUCUGGCAUCGAUGAAGAACGCAGCAAAAUGCGAUAAGUAAUGUGAAUUGCAGAAUUCAGUGAAUCAUCGAAUCUUUGAACGCACAUUGCGCCCGCCAGUAUUCUGGCGGGCAUGCCUGUCUGAGCGUCAUUUCAACCCUCAGGACCCGUUCGCGGGACCUGGCGUUGGGGAUCAGCCUGCCCCUGGCGGCGGCUGGCCCUGAAAUACAGUGGCGGUUCCCUCGCGAACUCCUCCGUGCAGUAAUUAAACCUCUCGCGGCAGGAUAGCGGUUGAACCACGCCGUUAAACCCCCCACUUCUCAAGGUUGACCUCAGAUCAGGUAGGAAUACCCGCUGAACUUAAGCAUAUCA